CACGUAGGGUGCGGGCGUGUCCGGAAUUAUUGGGCGUAAAGAGCUCGUAGGUGGUUUGUCGCGUUGUUCGUGAAAACUCACAACUCAAUUGUGGGCGUGCGGGCGAUACGGGCAGACUGGAGUACUGCAGGGGAGACUGGAAUUCCUGGUGUAGCGGUGGAAUGCGCAGAUAUCAGGAGGAACACCGGUGGCGAAGGCGGGUCUCUGGGCAGUAACUGACGCUGAGGAGCGAAAGCGUGGGGAGCGAACAGG
rnacentral:rRNA from 1 species